UUAGCUCAUAUUUGUAUGGAAUGGGAUCGUUUGCGUACGUUUGCCGCUAGGGGCGCUGUUCCAGCUGCAUACAAAAUUGGGUUA
rnacentral:pre_miRNA from 1 species